CAAACGACUCUCGGCAACGGAUAUCUCGGCUCACGCAUCGAUGAAGAACGUAGCAAAAUGCGAUACUUGGUGUGAAUUGCAGAAUCCCGUGAACCAUCGAGUUUUUGAACGCAAGUUGCGCCCAAAGCCAUCCGGUCGAGGGCACGCCUGCCUGGGCGUCACGC
rnacentral:rRNA from 2 species